rnacentral:lncRNA from 13 species
AAUGGUGAUGGAACAGUUAUUUGUGGCUGUGCUAAUGAUAUCUGCACACCUAGCAGUCUCAUAUCCUCUGACUACAGAGAGCUAUUACAUGGAUGGAGGGAGACAAUGCAGACUGUGUCCACCAGGUCAUUAUCAGAGUUCCUGUUCAGAGUGCUCUCCCUGUCGAGAUGGUUCCUACACAACACGAUUGAAUGCUGAGUCCAGUUGUCAUUCCUGCUUCAAAGACUGCAAACGUGAUUUGCACCUGGUGGAGGAUGAGCCGUGUACUCCUGUAUCGAACGCUAGAUGUCGCUGUGAGGCUGGUUUUACCUGCACCGACAAAGAAGACCAGACAGGAAACUGUAGAGACUGUGAGAAGGUCCCUCAGCUGCCCCCACCUCCCCUGCCACCUAGCAAUGUAGUGGGCAUCAGAAUCAACCAGACAGGAACUUCCUCUGAACACAGCAGGACUUCCUCUUCCGCUGGACGCUGUCAACCUCCUAACUGUGACACUCCACGAUCACCAGUCUCACAAGCAGCUGACACCAGCAAACACUUGGCAGCCAUUUUGUGUCCUAUGGUGGUCAUUGGAAUCCUAGCCGUUAUCAUUCUGUUAUGUAUCCGUCGCCCAGGAAAUGAAGCCUGUUUCAAACAAGCUCUAAAGUUCUGUAACAAGGGAGUAAGAGAAACGUCGCCUAACAAGACCAAAGAGCCACCUCAUCAGCACAAUGCCAGAGAGACACAGCCCAGUAUUAAGCACCAGACAGUGGAUCCACCACCUAUUACAGCAGCAAAUAUAGGCCUGGUCCAUGUCCACAAUGCUGGAACAGUCAUCUUCAGUUUACUCAACCAGUUCACUGGUAUGGGUGGAGGGAUGGAAGAGAGAGGGCAGAAAGAGAGGGAUGAGGAAGGAUGUCCGACCCACCCCACACCCUCCCCUAACAUCCAUCUAUCCCAGGAGGAAAGGGAUGGGGAGAUGGACUGUGUAUUCUUCCCUUCACAGGAACAAGGGAAGGACAGUCACGUUUCCAAAGAGGAGGUGCAUUGAGGGGAGGGGGAUUGAGGACAGAGGACGCACCAAGUGAAAGCUUCCCUUCUAGGAUCAGUUUAGCCAACCAUACAUCCUAAUGUUAAUCAUAAGGAGGAUUAAGACUGGUCUGACCUUGGAUCAGUGGUAAAGGACCACAUCUACCUAUGGCUCUAUUCAGUCUGUAUCACUGAAGCGUUACAGAUUGCUUGAUAGAAAUGUAAAGGUCAUUUUUGAUUGAGCCGACAUAUGCAGUGUUUAACGUGAAUGCAGUCUCCACUGACGUGAGAACAUUGCCUUUACAUUUCUAUCAGGCUGUAAAGCUGAUCUUCUGAGAUACAUGGAGCCCUUACUCGCAGUCUCAACUGCUGCAAACUGUUUUUUUCUGUGUUCAUGUGGCACUUUGAACUGUUUUUGCACAAAUUAAAACCAAAAUAUGAAAUAUAAUUGUUCAAUGAAUACAGGUGAUGGGGCGAUUGUCUGACAUUACAGUAGGCCUGUAACAUUUGUGAUUCUGUUCUUUAUUUAAAAUACAGCACUGUAUGUUUUAAACAGCCACUACUAUGUAAGAGUAAACACUGGCAUAAAGCAUAGAUACAGCUAAAAUCAUAAUGAAGGUGUAAAACAUCUUCAACAUAAACAUGUACAGUACAUGUAUUCAGCACACAAAUGUUUGUGUGUGUGUGUGUGCGUCUGUGUCUGUCUCUCUGUGUCUCUUGUUCACUCUUCGUUUCUCACUCUCAUUCUGCUCUUUCUCGGUCACAGACUCCCACUCCCUCUCUCAUCUUUAGCCUGUAUCUUCAUACUUCAAAGUGUCUUUUUGUCCUAUUUUCUUGUCCUUUCUGAAAGUCCUAGAUACAGAAGCCACUGCAUUAAACCAAUACAGCAGCCUGUCUAGCCUUCAGGUUAGUUUCACUUCAAUGGGAAUGUGAGGUAGUCUGUUUGUCUCCCGGGUCUCCCAGCUCGCUUGGGAGUUCUCAUCCUCUCCUUCGACACCCACUUCCUCCAUCAUACGUCCAGUAGCAGCUCUGGCUUUCCACACACUUCCUGGACCGGCAUGGGCACUUCCUCUUCCGCUGUGCUCUGAUUCGCUGGAGUAGUCUUUUUAGGAGACCAGAAGCCUGAUGGACCAAUAAGAUGAGGGUUAGGUCAAAUGUGCGUGCAUAUGUAUUGUGUUCAAUAGAACUACAGGACAGAUCAACAGUGACGUGGACUUACUGUUUGGUGAACCAAUCCAUCGCAGAAAAGGUUUGAGCUUUGAGAUGGCAACAAGGCAGGUGAGCAGUAGACACACACACACUGCAGACACACACACCGGGAGCCACUUGCUAUCAUCUGUUUGUGUGUGUAUGAGAGAGAGGGAGGAGUGGAGAGAGGGGUCAGGGCCGUACACAUGAACACCGGCAUUGUUUUGGGUUUUGUGAGAGAGAGAGAACUAUGUACAGUGCCUUGCGAAAGUAUUCGGCCCCCUUGAACUUUGCGACCUUUUGCCACAUUUCAGGCUUCAAACAUAAAGAUAUAAAACUGUAUUUUUUUGUGAAGAAUCAACAACAAGUGGGACACAAUCAUGAAGUGGAACGACAUUUAUUGGAUAUUUCAAACUUUUUUAACAAAUCAAAAACUGAAAAAUUGGGCGUGCAAAAUUAUUCAGCCCCCUUACUUUCAGUGCAGCAAACUCUCUCCAGAAGUUCAGUGAGGAUCUCUGAAUGAUCCAAUGUUGACCUAAAUGACUAAUGAUGAUAAAUACAAUCCACCUGUGUGUAAUCAAGUCUCCGUAUAAAUGCACAUGCACAGUGAUAGUCUCAGAGGUCCGUUAAAAGCGCAGAGAGCAUCAUGAAGAACAAGGAACACACCAGGCAGGUCCGAGAUACUGUUGUGAAGAAGUUUAAAGCCGGACUUGGAUACAAAAAGAUUUCCCAAGCUUUAAACAUCCCAAGGAGCACUGUGCAAGCGAUAAUAUUGAAAUGGAAGGAGUAUCAGACCACUGCAAAUCUACCAAGACCUGGCCGUCCCUCUAAACUUUCAGCUCAUACAAGGAGAAGACUGAUCAGAGAUGCAGCCAAGAGGCCCAUGAUCACUCUGGAUGAACUGCAGAGAUCUACAGCUGAGGUGGGAGACUCUGUCCAUAGGACAACAAUCAGUCGUAUAUUGCACAAAUCUGGCCUUUAUGGAAGAGUGGCAAGAAGAAAGCCAUUUCUUAAAGAUAUCCAUAAAAAGUGUUGUUUAAAGUUUGCCACAAGCCACCUGGGAGACACACCAAACAUGUGGAAGAAGGUGCUCUGGUCAGAUGAAACCAAAAUUGAACUUUUUGGCAACAAUGCAAAAUGUUAUGUUUGGCGUAAAAGCAACACAGCUCAUCACCCUGAACACACCAUCACCACUGUCAAACAUGGUGGUGGCAGCAUCAUGGUUUGGGCCUGCUUUUCUUCAGCAGGGACAGGGAAGAUGGUUAAAAUUGAUGGGAAGAUGGAUGGAGCCAAAUACAGGACCAUUCUGGAAGAAAACCUGAUGGAGUCUGCAAAAGACCUGAGACUGGGACGGAGAUUUGUCUUCCAACAAUACAAUGAUCCAAAACAUAAAGCAAAAUCUACAAUGGAAUGGUUAAAAAAUAAACAUAUCCAGGUGUUAGAAUGGCCAAGUCAAAGUCCAGACCUGAAUCCAAUCGAGAAUCUGUGGAAAGAACUGAAAACUGCUGUUCACAAAUGCUCUCCAUCCAACCUCACUGAGCUCGAGCUGUUUUGCAAGGAGGAAUGGGAAAAAAUGUCAGUCUCUCGAUGUGCAAAACUGAUAGAGACAUACCCCAAGCGACUUACAGCUGUAAUCGCAGCAAAAGGUGGCGCUACAAAGUAUUAACUUAAGGGGGCUCAAUAAUUUUGCACGCCCAAUUUUUCAGUUUUUGAUUUGUUAAAAAAGUUUGAAAUAUCCAAUAAAUGUCGUUCCACUUCAUGAUUGUGUCCCACUUGUUGUUGAUUCUUCACAAAAAAAUACAGUUUUAUAUCUUUAUGUUUCAAGCCUGAAAUGUGGCAAAAGGUCGCAAAGUUCAAGGGGGCCGAAUACUUUCGCAAGGCACUGUAGCUCUCAUGGCAUUUUUACAUGUCACUUUGAACACUUUCAGGCCAUUUUCAUAAUUUGUAUCCAAUGUAUUGUAGUUUACCUUGGUUUGGAUUUGUUCUGGGCCCAGUACCAGGUUUGGUGACAGGUUUAGGUCUAUGAUUAGGGAUACCAGGCACCGAGUGGUUUGACACUGUAGCUGGCAUGAUGGGAGGUGUCGGUAUGAGUUUGGGUGUGUUCGGGCUGGGGAUCUCCUCACAGUCCAGACAGGUGCCACUUCCUCUGCAGCGGUAGCCUGGUUUACAGCUGCACACAUCAUUCUGCUUGGUGGAACAGUUAGAUACAUACUGCAGCUCUGUAACGGAACACAAGUCAUAGGUGGUCUAUUUGUCUGUGUGCCUUCAUGUAUACUGACUUUGACAUAGUGUUUUUGUCACGUAGUCAAACACAAUCUGAAAUCAUGCCUGAAUAUGAUGAAAUAACUCAUCUUCAAAAUGAGUCAUAGGACCUUGUUGAAUCAGCUUUUGACUGAUUCAACAAGGUCCUAUGAAGUGUAUAUUACCGUCAGACCCCACCCUUCACACACACACACACACACACACACACACACACACACACACACUUGACUAGAGUGAAUGACAGUUCAAAUGUGUUCACUGAGUCUGACUACUCUCAAACCUCUCUCACCUCUAUUUAAAAAUAGUUAAUCUCUAUUUUUGUCCCCCACUACACUCGAUGACAACGAUGUAAUGAGAAUGUUCUGUCAGCUGUACUUUCCAAUGAUUAUCUUUAAAGUAAAAAGGUUAUUUCCACCGGUGAGAUGAUAUCUGUCUACCACUAACCCCUCCCACUGUCCCCCCUCCAUCACCACUGAUAUCCUUGACAUUACUUGGUAGACAUGCCAUCCCUUCUGCCCUCCAGGCCUCCCAACCCUCCUCUACUCCUGGGUGGGUGAGUCAGUGUUUCUCAGUGCCCCCCUCCCCCUCUCUCUCUGACUGUGUCCCACCAUGGUACAGUGACGGGGGAAAUCCCUAGCAGGCUGUGUUUUCAUCUGUAAAGUCCUUCGUAACUAUGACUUAGAAAAACAGGUGAGUAACAGUUUUAGACAGACAAACAAGACAAGUAUCAGUGCAAAUCAUAUUUUGCUGGAAACGUAU